GUCCGGCCUGGGGAAAUUCCCCGGACACUGGGGCCGAGAGGGCCAGCCGUAGAUGGCGUGGCUUCGGAGCGCCGUGAGCGAAGAUGCCUUCGGGCGGAGCGGUAGUGCGGCUGCUCGGGAUGUCACUUGUCGCAGCAAAGUUAUGCAAUCACACCAGCUUCGGCUGGUGCAACACAACGGGGAUUAC
rnacentral:RNase_MRP_RNA from 14 species